rnacentral:RNase_P_RNA from 1 species
GAAAGUAGGUGAGGCAGUUGCGAACUGGCCGAGUCGAGCGCUUGAGCCAGUUUGAGGAAAGUCCGGGCACCCGAAAGACCCAACUUGCUGGGUAACGCCCAGUGCGCGUGAGCGUGAGGAGAGUGCCACAGAAACAUACCGCCUUGUCAGACGAUCGUCGGUAAGCCACGACCGUCUCAGGGUAAGGGUGCAAAGGUGCGGUAAGAGCGCACCAGCAGUAUCGAGAGGUACUGGCUCGGUAAACCCCGAGUGGGUGCAAGGUCGCCGGAACCAUGGUUGGUCUUUUACCAGUUCCGAAGUUGGAGAACCGCUUGAGGCGUUUGGUAACAAACGUCCCAGAUAGAUAACUGCCCGUCUCAUCGUCUGACGAUGUCUGACGAUGGGAUAGAACAGAACCCGGCUUACGACUACUUUCUCUA